GCCGACGUAGCUCAGCUGGCAGAGCACAUCACUCGUAAUGAUGGGGUCCGGGGUUCGAUUCCCCGCGUCGGCUCCA
rnacentral:tRNA from 2 species